CAUUUUUAUGAUGAGAUACCAUUUAGUUAUCCCUGUCAGAACUGUAACUGUUGAGAUAAAACAACUCUGAAAAUAUU
rnacentral:snoRNA from 1 species